rnacentral:rRNA from 1 species
AUUGAACGCUGGCGGCAGGCCUAACACAUGCAAGUCGAACGAGUGGCGGACGGGUGAGUAAUGUGUGGGAAUCUACCUUAUGGAGGGGGAUAACUACGGGAAACGGUAGCUAAUACCGCGUACCAUAGGAUGAGCCCAAGUGGGAUUAGGUAGUUGGUGGGGUAAAGGCUCACCAAGGCGACGAUCCCUAGCUGGUCUGAGAGGAUGACCAGCCACACUGGGACUGAGACACGGCCCAGACUCCUACGGGAGGCAGCAGGGGGGAAUAUUGCGCAAUGGGGGCAACCCUGACGCAGCCAUGCCGCGUGAAUGAAGAAGGCCUUCGGGUUGUAAAGUACUUUCGGUAGGGAGGCGUUACCUACAGAAGAAGCACCGGCUAACUCCGUGCCAGCAGCCACGGUAAUAC